AACGGUGUGUGACGCCACAGACCAUUAAUGAUCCUUCCGCAGGUUCACCUACGGAAACCAUGUUACGACUUUUACUUCCUCUAGAU